rnacentral:lncRNA from 1 species
UCUGUCACAUAAGCAUCAAAUGGAAUUAUGCAGUUACUACCUGAGGUUUUCUUCAAUAUAAGCCUCCAUCUCAGGCAUCCUGUGUUUUGUUUUUGAAAAUUUGAGGCAUCCUGUUGCUAGAGGUCAUGUGAAAUUUAAUGUAUUAUUAUUAUUUUAUGGUUAGUGAACAAUAGAGGGAUAUGGCAUUGCCUAUUUUAGUUUAACCCGUGGUGAAUUGUUCAUACUUCCAAGUAAAAUAUCUUCUCACUUGUAGGUAAACUGGGCGUGUUCUCUAUUGAUCUCUGAAUAAUGAGGAAGUAAAGGUAGAUUCACUC